AGAAUCAACGCUGGCGGCGUGCCUAACACAUGCAAGUCGAACGAGAAAGUGGAGCAAUCCAUGAGUAAAGUGGCGCACGGGUGAGUAACACGUGACUAACCUACCCUUGAGUGGGGAAUAACUUCGGGAAACCGAGGCUAAUACCGCAUAACACCUACGGGUCAAAGGAGCAAUUCGCUUAAGGAGGGGGUCGCGGCAGAUUAGUUAGUUGGCAGGGUAAUGGCCUACCAAGACGGUGAUCUGUAUCCGGCCUGAGAGGGCGCACGGACACACUGGAACUGAAACACGGUCCAGACUCCUACGGGAGGCAGCAGUGGGGAAUUUUGCGCAAUGGGGGAAACCCUGACGCAGCAACGCCGCGUGGAGGAUGAAGUCCCUUGGGACGUAAACUCCUUUCGAUCGGGACGAUUAUGACGGUACCGGAAGAAGAAGCCCCGGCUAACUUCGUGCCAGCAGCCGC
rnacentral:rRNA from 1 species